rnacentral:lncRNA from 1 species
UUAAUAACUGACUUGGAAAAAGACAUCUGAGUACCUAUCAUCUCUAUUAUACUCAGAAAUAUUUCUGUAAGUAGCAAUUAGGCCAUUGCAUCUAUAUCAUGUAAAACAUACUUUUGAGAAUUUUAAAAAUUUCUUUUUUCCUCUGUCUCCUAUCACUAUUUACUCCUCCUUAAAGGUGAUGACUCAGUGGUCCCCCAAUCUCCCGUCUCAUAGCAAUUAUUAUGUAGAUUCAUCUGUGACCCAGGACAUUAUGUUCAGUGUAAUAAGCCAGACAUAGAAAGCCCAAGACAACUUCUCUUCAUUAAAUGCGGUCCAGGCAAGCUAGGGAUCUUCAGUCCAUGGAACACAUAUUGGACAUACCUGGUAGACAAUAUGACCCGGUCAGAGAACAAUGGAUUUGACAUUAAUGUAGGGUUUCCAACUUCCAUGAGGACUGUCAUCCUUUCUUUUGGCCUGUUUCUCUCUUGGAAAUAAAAUGUUAAUGCCACUACUAUGUAUUAGAAGUCGUAACUUACUUGGAUUUCUCAGUUAUAAGUGUGUGCUGAUCUGCAAUUGUCUGCAAUAAGGCCAGAUGAGGACAGCCAUGCACAGUCCUCUUCAUGAGAUGAUGAUUCCUUCACUCUGUAAUGGUUUCUCAGAGUUUGGACUUAGAAGGAGAUUACCUGGUUACUACUGAAGAAAGCAGUGAGAUGGAAGCCACAGAUGUGGUUUUCUGGACACCACACCUUUGUGAGC